rnacentral:rRNA from 1 species
UACGGCGGAUGCGAGCGUUAUCCGGAUUUAUUGGGUUUAAAGGGUGCGUAGGCGGACGGUCAAGUCAGCGGUAAAAAUGCGGUGCUCAACGCCGUACAGCCGUUGAAACUGGCAGUCUUGAGUGGGCGAGAAGUAUGCGGAAUGCGUGGUGUAGCGGUGAAAUGCAUAGAUAUCACGCAGAACUCCGAUUGCGAAGGCAGCAUACCGGCGCCCAACUGACGCUGAAGCACGAAAGCGUGGGGAGCAAAUAGG